AUCGCUUCUUGGCCUUUUGGCUAAGAUCAAGUGUAGAAUUACAUGGGAGCAUAAUGAAAACUGAUUCCUGUCCUCAGCCCCCAGUAUUCAGAUGUAAUUAUUCUAGGAUGGGAACCAAAAAUCAACAUUUGUUAAAGGCUUUCCUGAUGUUUCUAAUGCACAGCCAGCGCUGAGAACCCCUG